rnacentral:miRNA from 1 species
AAGAACUCGUCUCUUAACUUUUAA